rnacentral:rRNA from 1 species
UACGUAGGUCCCGAGCGUUGUCCGGAUUUAUUGGGCGUAAAGCGAGCGCAGGUGGUUUAUUAAGUCUGGUGUAAAAGGCAGUGGCUCAACCAUUGUAUGCAUUGGAAACUGGUAGACUUGAGUGCAGGAGAGGAGAGUGGAAUUCCAUGUGUAGCGGUGAAAUGCGUAGAUAUAUGGAGGAACACCGGUGGCGAAAGCGGCUCUAUGGCCUGUAACUGACACUGAGGCUCGAAAGCGUGGGGAGCAAACAGG